GUUUUAGCAACCAUAAUUUUUCGGCAGAUUUUGUGUUUUGAGCUUAAUUCCUUAUUGUGAACCUGUUCAGUUCUUUACUUUUUCAUGGUUGAUGUUUUAGAAGAUUUUAGCGCGAUUAAAGUGUUUAACUGACCGUGAUCCCGACUGGUUGGUUACUGUCGCUUCCACUGGCUGCUCAAUCAGACAGAGUUUAACGCGUUCUCUACCACUCUCAAGGAAAUAUAUUAUUUCAUGAUUAUGAAUUUAUUCUUAUGGAUCUGUUCUUUUACAUGAUCGAUAUUUUAGGGAGGCUUAUUACAAAUAAAGUGCCCAAAUGGCCGUGAUCCCAACUGGCAGCUGAUUGUCGCUUCCUCUGGUCGCUCACAGCCGCAAGAGCGCUCCGAGUUUAACGCGUUCUCACUCUCUCUACAAGGAAAUAUAUUAUUUUAUGAUUAUUAAUAUAUUCGCAUGGGUCUAGUCUUUUAAUCUGUCAACAUUUUAUAAAGGCUUUUUACAAAUAAAGUGCCCAAAUGGCCGUGUUCCCAACUGGCAGCUGAUUUUCGCUUCCACUGGCCGCUCAAUCAGACAGCCGCCUCGUUCCAAGGAAUUCUAAUAAUUUUAUUCCCCUAACUACAGUUGAAGGAGAGCAAAACACACGAAUCUGCCAUAAAUCAAUAGUUCCCGAUAGUGUACUGCCAGCUGCCAGGCUACUACUGGCAGGUCACGUGAACCAUGCUCAACCAGCCAGUCGCUGCGGGGCUGAGAGUGUAACGCGUUCACUUUUGCUGCAAGGAAAUACAUUAUUUUAUUAUUAAUAAUAUAUUCAUAUGACUCUAUUCUUAAUUGGCAUUUUAGGUGAGUUUAUCCCAAUUAAAUAUAGUGUGUUAUCUAUGCAGUUAUCAAUAAGACAAGUUUUCAGAUUUAUGCGGUCACCUGCAGGACAGUCAGCAGAUUACACCUUUAACUUUAUUCAAGUGCAAUGUGAUUAUAUUAUAAGGAUUUGAUUGUACUUUAUUCCCAAUCUUGUUCCUGGAGGUCCCCCAAAACUGCACAUUUUGCAUCUCUCCUUUCUCUGACAGACACAUUUCAGGUCUUGGAGUCUCUACUAAUGAGCUGAUGAUCUGAAUCAGGUGUGUUUGAUUAAGGAGACAUGGAAAACCUGCAGUGUUGGGGGGCCUCCAGGAACGU
ensembl:lncRNA